rfam:Camelus ferus unplaced genomic scaffold scaffold883, whole genome shotgun sequence.
GGGUGAAUAGAUUAGUGGUAGACUGCAUGUUUAGCAUGCACGAGGUCCUGGGUCCAAUCCCCAGUACCUCCA